CAUAAAAGAAUUAAAUUAGAAAAAAAUUACAUAAAGAUAACUGGAAAAUCUCCAAAUAUUUACAAAUUAAAUAACACAAUGUGAAAUUACCCAUGGGUAAAAAAAAAUCACAGAAUAAAACAUUUUAAACUGAAUGAAAAUGAAAAUACAACAUAGAAAAAAAUUGGGAUAUAUAGUGAAAAUAGUACUCAAAGGAAAGCUUAUGAUUUUAAAUACUUAGAAAAAAAGCAAUAAUAACUUAAGGGUGCUUAAUACUAUGUAAUGCUUAUAAUACUAUUCCAUUGAGGAUUAGGUUUCAACAUAUGAAUUUUAGGGGGACACAAACAUUCAGACCAUAGCACCAACACUUGUUACUUUCUGUUUCGCUUGUUUGUUGUUUUAUAGCAGCCAUCCUAAUGGGUGUGAGGUGAUAAUUCAUUGUGGGUUUUUGCUCUUAAAUAUCUUUUAAAUAAAUCUAUUCCAUUGUAGUCCAAGCUGUCAUCUUCUUUAUUUACUAAAACAGCCUCCUAAGUAGGCUUCAUGUAUCUUCUUGCCCACUCUUCCUCUUCUCCACAACACUGUGAGAGAUACCUUUUAAAAAAAUUUUUUUUCUUUGUUUGAGAGAUACCUUUUUUAUGUAAAAACGUAACUGACUCUGUCACUCCCUUGCUUAGAAUUCUUCAAUAGCUUCCUAUUUCUCUCAAGCUAAAGACUAAAUCUUUUAUAUGACCUACAAAGAAGUGGGAAGGGUGAAGUAUAUAAACACUUGCAUACCUAAUUGCUAAAUAAAAGACUUGAAGAUCAUAAACAGCCAAGAAAUCAUAAAGACAUUCUAGGACCUGAAACCUCUUAAGACAGGGGUCUGUGGACACAGAACAAGCCUGUGUCCUAGUGAGGUUCUCUCAACUCCCUCCUCACCUUCCCCAGUACACAUUUUGGGAUGAAUGAAAUCGAUGGAGUGUUUUACAAAAUACUCCAACUUUGGAGCAUAUAAAAAUCCUUUACAUGGCUGGACACAGUGGCUCAUGCCUGUAAUCCCAGCACUUUGGGAGGCCAAGGCCAGCAGAUCACCUCCGAUCAGGAGUUCAAGACCAGCCUGGCCAACAUGGUAAAACCCCAUCUCUACUAAAAAUAAAAAAUAGGCCUGGCAUGGUGGCAGGAGCCUGUAAUCUCAGCUACUCGGGAGGCUGAGGCGGGAGAAUUGCUUGAACCCAGGAGGCAGAGGUUGCAGGGAGCCGAGACUGCUUCAUUGCACUUCAGCCUGGGUAACAAGAGUAUAAAAAUUAUUUAUAGCUUUAUAGCACCUCUCUUUGAGUAAGACUUGGCCCAGAAUGCUGUCUUACUUCAUAGCAUGGAGUACCGCAUUCAUCAAUACAACCUCCAAGGUUCUGCAGACUUAUCUCAAUUUACUUCUCAGGACUCAGCCUGGGAGCAAUCUUAUCUCCUUGGGAGAUCUUUCCAUACCUUGGCUUUGAUUUUUACCAUUUAACUCUGUGUGAAAUUUGUUUCUCUUGUUCUAGACUUUUGAAGAUCAUAAAAGUUCUUGGUGGGUUAUUUUCAGGCUGGUGGCGAGUAUCUUUCUAAAACCCCCAGAUGCUUAGAACACUAACAAUCAGAACCUUAAUUUUAUUAAUAGUUAAAAGCUAGAGGCCAGGCAAGGUGGCUCACACUUAUAAUUCCAGCACUUUGGGAGGCCGAGGCGGGCAGAUCACCUGAGGUCAGGAGUUCGAGACUAGCCUGGCUAACAUGGUGAAACCCUGUCUCUACUAAAAAUACAAAAAUUAGCUGGGCCUGGUGGCAGGUGCUUGUAAUCCUAGCUAUUGGGGGGCUGUGGCAGGAGAAUCACUUGAACCUGGGAGGCGGAGGUUGCAGUGAGCCGAGAUUGUGCCAUUGCACUCCAGCCUGGGUGACAAGAGCAAAACUCUGUCUCCAAAAAAAAAAAAAGAAAAAGCUAGAGACUGGCCUUCAUGUUCAGUUCCUUGUUAGUAAAAUGGAUUAUGCGCAAAAUAUAAAAGUAGCUAUCAUGUGCCUUCAACACAUCCUAUAUUCAUAAAAGUUAGCCCAUAUCUUAGUCAGUUGAAGCUGCCAUAACAAAUACCAGAGACAGGGUGGCUUAAACAACAGAUAUUUCAUUUCUCACAUUUCUGGAAGCUGGGAGUUCUGAGAUCAGGAUACUGGCAGGUUCAGUGUCUGGUGACGGCUUGCUUCCUGGCUUGUAGACAGCUGCCUUCUUGCUGUGUGCUCACACAUGGCCUUUCUUCAGUGCAUGCACCAAGAGAAGGGAGAGAGAUUUCUCUCUCUUCCUGUUCUUAUAAAAGCACUAAUCUCAUCACAGGCUCCACUCUCAUGACUUCACCUAAACCUAAUUACCUCCCAAAGGCCCCCACUUCCAAACACCAUCACUUUGUGGGCUAGGGCUUCAACAUAUGAAUAUGGGCAGAGACACAAUUCAGGCCCUAAAAGCCCACAAGAGUUGUCUGCCAAAAUACCUUGAAAAUUUGUAAGCAACAUCACCAAUACAAUAACUGCAGCAACCCGUAAGAAUAUGGAUAUUAUGUUUGCUGGAAUAUGUAAACAUUUUUAUUUUAAAAAUAAUCAUAUGAUUGUUCUGUUGGAGAAAUCUCCCAGACUCCUACCAAAAGAUAAAAGAUAAUACAAUAAGUUAUUUGGAUGUAUUAAAUAUAUCUAAAGAAAAAGAAAUCUGGCUAGGCAUGGUGGCUCAUGCCUGUAAUCCCAGCACUUUGGGAGGCCAAGGUGGGAGGGUUGCUUGAUGCAGGAGUUUGAGACUAGCCUGGGCAACAGAGAGACACCCAAUCUCUACAAAACAUUAGCCAGGCAUUGUGGUGCAUGCCUAUAGUCUCAGCUACUCUGUAAGGUGAGGCAGGAGGAUCACUUGAGUACAGGAGGUUGAGGCUGCAGUAAGCCAUGAUGGCAUCACUGCACUCCAGCCUGGGCAACAGGGCAACAGAGUGAGACCUUGUCUCAAAAAAAAAAAAAAAAAAAAUCAGAGUGUUAAAGGCAGUAGUGCCCAUUAGAGCACUUUUGAGAAAGGAGUCUUAGCCACUGUACUUAAACUUAUGCCAAUUACAGCAGAUAAAUAUACCUUCCUGUUUUCUCCUUUUAAAGUAUUUUCUUCUAGUCUUUCUUUAUAUUUUAUCAUUGUUAUUAAAGUAUACUUAUAUUCUGAAUUUUGCUGUCUUAACAUUAUU
rnacentral:lncRNA from 1 species